rnacentral:misc_RNA from 1 species
GAUGAAGAACGCAGCGAAAUGCGAUAAGUAAUGUGAAUUGCAGAAUUCAGUGAAUCAUCGAAUCUUUGAACGCACCUUGCGCCCCUUGGUAUUCCGAGGAGCAUGCCUGUUUGAGUGUCAUUAAAUUCUCAACUUUCCAGUGCUUUUUUAUAAAAGCCCUGGUAAAGCUUGGACUUGGAGUGUGCUGGCUUCUCACAGAAUGUUAGCUCCUCUUUAAAUGCAUUAGUGAAUCCCUUGUGGAUCAGCUUUGGCGUGAUAAUUAUCUACGUUUUAGCUGUGAAACAGACUCUUGUUUGAGAAGGAUAUUCGCUUCUAACUGUCCUCUUGGACAAAUGUUUAUUGACCAUUUGACCUCAAAUCAGGUAGGACUACCCGCUGAACUUAAGCAUAUUAAUAAGCGGAGGA